UACGUAGGGCGCAAGCGUUAUCCGGAAUUAUUGGGCGUAAAGAGCUCGUAGGCGGUUUGUCGCGUCUGCCGUGAAAGUCCGGGGCUCAACUCCGGAUCUGCGGUGGGUACGGGCAGACUAGAGUGAUGUAGGGGGAGACUGGAAUUCCUGGUGUAGCGGUGAAAUGCGCAGAUAUCAGGAGGAACACCGAUGGCGAAGGCAGGUCUCUGGGCAUUAACUGACGCUCAUGCACGAAAGCGUGGGGAGCAAACAGG
rnacentral:rRNA from 1 species